UCCUACGGGAGGCAGCAGUGGGGAAUAUUGCACAAUGGGCGCAAGCCUGAUGCAGCAACGCCGCGUGAGGGACGAAGGCCUUCGGGUUGUAAACCUCUUUUAGUAGGGAAGAAGCGACUGGGUUUUCCUGGGAGUGACGGUACCUGCAGAAAAAGCACCGGCUAACUACGUGCCAGCAGCCGCGGUAAUACGUAGGGUGCAAGCGUUGUCCGGAAUUAUUGGGCGUAAAGAGCUCGUAGGCGGUUUGUCGCGUCUGCUGUGAAAACCCGAGGCUCAACCUCGGGCCUGCAGUGGGUACGGGCAGACUAGAGUGCGGUAGGGGAGAUUGGAAUUCCUGGUGUAGCGGUGGAAUGCGCAGAUAUCAGGAGGAACACCAAUGGCGAAGGCAGAUCUCUGGGCCGUAACUGACGCUGAGGAGCGAAAGCAUGGGGAGCGAACAGGAUUAGAUACCCUGGUAGUCCAUGCCGUAAACGUUGGGAACUAGAUGUGGGGACCAUUCCACGGUCUCCGUGUCGCAGCUAACGCAUUAAGUUCCCCGCCUGGGGAGUACGGCCGCAAGGCUAAAACUCAAAGGAAUUGACGGGGGCCCGCACAAGCGGCGGAGCAUGCGGAUUAAUUCGAUGCAACGCGAAGAACCUUACCAAGGCUUGACAUAUACCGGAAACGGCUGGAAACAGUCGCCCCGCAAGGUCGGUAUACAGGUGGUGCAUGGUUGUCGUCAGCUCGUGUCGUGAGAUGUUGGGUUAAGUCCCGCAACGAGCGCAACCCUCGUCCUAUGUUGCCAGCACGUAAUGGUGGGAACUCAUGGGAUACUGCCGGGGUCAACUCGGAGGAAGGUGGGGAUGACGUCAAAUCAUCAUGCCCCUUAUGUCUUGGGCUUCACGCAUGCUACAAUGGCCGGUACAAAGGGCUGCGAUACCGCAAGGUGGAGCGAAUCCCAAAAAGCCGGUCUCAGUUCGGAUUGAGGUCUGCAACUCGACCUCAUGAAGUCGGAGUCGCUAGUAAUCGCAAGAUCAGCAACGCUGCGGUGAAUACGUUCCCGGGCCUUGUACACACCGCC
rnacentral:rRNA from 1 species